rnacentral:rRNA from 1 species
UGGGGAAUUUUUGGACAAUGGGCGCAAGCCUGAUCCAGCCAUGCCGCGUGUGUGAAGAAGGCCUUCGGGUUGUAAAGCACUUUCGGGCGGAACGAAAUCGCGCGGGCCAACACCCCGUGUGGAUGACGGUACCGCAAGAAGAAGCACCGGCUAACUACGUGCCAGCAGCCGCGGUAAUACGUAGGGUGCGAGCGUUAAUCGGAAUUACUGGCGUAAAGCGUGCGCAGGCGGUCGCGCAAGUCAGGUGUGAAAGCCCCGGGCUUAACUUGGGAAUGGCACUUGAAACUACGUGACUGGAGUGUGGCAGAGGGAGGUGGAACUCCACGUGUAGCGGUGAAAUGCGUAGAGAUGUGGAGGAACACCGAUGGCGAAGGCAGCCUCCUGGGCCAACACUGACGCUCAUGCACGAAAGCGGUGGGGAGCAAACAGGAUUAGAUACCCUGGUAGUCCACGCCCUAAACGAUGUCUAC